UUCUUAUUAUUCUUGUCACGAUAAGGAGGAUCAAUAUCGAUCAACAUUAUUCUAACAAAACAAUCUUCCAUCUGUUGCAAAAAAUGUAAAUGUUUCUCAUUUGUCCAUAAUCCGCCACACAAAUCAUGAUGAUCUUUCCUCUUUCCAGCUGCAUCUCUAUGUAUCAAUCUAGAGUGAUCGAGCUCAGACGGUUAUACAUAUUCCAUUGUUUCUCUUUCCAGCUGCAUCUCUAUGUAUCGAUCUAGAGUAAUCCAUCUCAGACGGUCAGACCCUAAUGAAGAGAAAAAAUUCCGGAGAAAGUAUAACAAUUUUUUUAGGUUAAUGAAAGUUGACUUAUUCGAAUGCAAUAAAUACGUGAGGAAAUUUUUGGUUAUGGAUGGAAGAUUCGUUUUAGAAUAUUAGCAGCAGAAGGAUGGACAUCACUGGGGGGAAAAGAAGAAGAGAUUAAGUUUGAAUUUUGGUUAUGAAAUGACUUCACGCCAUAAAAGGUAACUAUUGACUAUUUUAUAUUUUGUUUCCCAUAUUAAUUAAAUCAUCUAACUGUAAUUAUAUCGUAAGGAAAUCAGUGCCAUAUGGCGACGUCUUAUUGAAGGGACAAUAAAGCAUACCGAGAAAUACUUAGGUUAUGGAUGAAAGAUUCGUUUUAGAAUAAUUGCAGCGGAAAAAUGUGAUAAAAGAGGAUUUUGUUAUAGGACAUGUGGUCCAUGGAUGUGCGGUCCAUUAGAAUACUAUGGUAUUCCCUUCCCUUGUAUAAAUAGAAUGCUAUACCUAUGUAAUAUGGUUUCCUCUCUGGCUAAUUGAAAUGUUCUUCUUCUUCUUUUCUCUUUUCUCUCUUUCUUAUUAUUACUCCAAAACCUUAUCAAGCACGAAGCUAAACCGCAUAGCGAGAUUGGUUAAAGUUUUUUUCUUUUUUCUACAUGGAUGAUAAAUACAAGUUGUUCAAAAAAAAUGGUGCUCGGAUUUACAUCGUCGCAGUUAUGGAAUCAUCGUCAAGCUAAGUAUUUUUCUUCCUUUGGUUGUGGCAGAUUUGAUUUGAUUUGAUUUAAUCUAAUUUAUUUGGAAAAGGAAAUCUGCAAUGUUAAUGGGUGAAAGAUGGGAUGAAGGGAAUCUGCUGAUUUGUAUUAACACCAAAGGAAUUCUGUUGGUUUGAUUUGUCGAGCUAAAGUUGGAUUAUGUUUUGAUUCUUCCUCCUAUUCCUUAGGAUCGUAAGGCUCACAUUUAGCAUAUGCCAAAUGCAACUCCUCCAUUCCGAUUCAAACAAAGGCUUAUCUCAAACCGUCAGAACCCAUCUGUAAUGGACGUCGUUAAAAAAAAAAGUGAGCCAAAAAAUUUGCUGGAAAAGCUCAUGUGGAUGGUGAAACAAAGGCUUGGUUAGUGGAAACCUUAUAAGGACAUCGUCAAAAAAUUUAAGUCAGAGGAUAUGAAGAUGAUUUAAAAGAGGUUCGUCUGUUCCAACCCGAUGUCAGAUGCAGAGCCUGAUUGUUUAAGUGCAACAAAAGUUUAUGGAAGGUCAGAUGGGAUUCUAGCACAAAUGUUGGAUCUAAAAGCAUGGUUUGAGGAUCAAACGAUAUACCAUUUCAAAUCUUGUUCGAUUCUUAUGGUGCAUGAUCAAUCUGGUGCUGAAACCAUUUCAUUCCCUCCAUCUCUUUCAGAUGCAUAAGACAGGGAGAGGCGAGCAGAAAUGAGU